ensembl:lncRNA
CAGGAGCGCCUGGGCAGUGUCCAGAUCCCCGACCUCUGACCCCAGACUUGGGUGUGAAGGAGCCCCUCAGAGCAGAGUGGCCCAGCUCUAUGAGAUCACAGCCUCUGCUGGUUACUACCCACUCCACCUCACCCCCAGACCCUGAGCUCUCCUCCAGCCCCCAGCAGCCAGGCCCCAGGAUGGAGGGAGGGCCUGGGGUUCGCACUCAGCAUUACCUCCAUGGGCCCCCUGGGUUCUGCAGACGCGUGUGGCCUGACCUCACCCUUCAGCCCACACAAGUCCCUGAAAGCCCCUGGGGUCUUGAUGGCCUGGCUAGCCUAGCUCUCCAGCCCCCUGAUCCAGAGGGACCUGGAGAGUGCCAGGCCGAGGUGGGGAGGGGGCAGCCAGACUCAGUUUGGAAGGGACAGGGCUGGACCCCAGGGAUAGCCAUUUGGAAGGUCUUGGAGACGUCAGGACCGGGGCUUUAACAAGCUUGGAGUGUGGGUGGCCUGCAAGGGGAAGACCCCGCAGGCAACAGGGCCGCCCCAGGCCCGUGCCAAGCCUCAGUUUCCUCCUGGGCUACUUGGGGCGCCACGCCCGCCGCAGGGAGGCUGCGCCAGGAAGCGGGUCCUCUGUCAGGAGCCCAUUUUACAGACGAGAAAACCGAGGCUCAGCGAAGUCAGAGUCGGUCUGUUGUCCCUGUGCCUGCACCGGGGGGCUGCCGCCAUCCCGCGACUCCCUCAUGCCCGCGAAAUCGCGCCCACUCCUCUGGCUUCUGCUGCUGGAGUCCCCUCCCCACCAGAGACCCCUUGGCUACCCGGCCACCCCGAGAUUCCCGAGCACCGCCAGAGCUCCGCCGGUCCCAGCGGACUUUCGGUCCCCAGAGCUUCCAGAGGGCGGGAAGGGAAUGAAGCUCUGACAGCCACCCGCUGCCGGCACCUGAGGCUGAUGGACCAAAGCUGCUCACCGCCCCACCCAGAGUCCAUGACCCACCACCCAUCCUUCUCUUCCACACAGGUCCGGAAGCCACCUGAAGACAUGCAACAGGGAGAAGAUGACAUGGGAUCUGGAAAACAGUGGCUCCAAACUAGAAUAGUGAAGGGUGGGCAAUGGGCAGUGGGACUGCCCAGCGGGCCAGGAGCAGGAGAGCAAGGCCCUGGCAGGGAACAUGGGGGGAAUGACUUGACUGCUGGAGAAUGUAAGGAUGUGAUAAAGGCAGACAAUGUGGGGACAAUAAGGCAAACAAACUCCAGGAAAAACAAAAGCCGUCCUAAGAUAAUGCAUUCCCCGCUCACUGCUUAGCCAUGCUGAGGUUCAUAUUUACAUACAGUCCUGAGAGACGCUCUUGACUGAACCAGCCUACAGACAAGCAGGAAAGCACGGUCACUGCUCCAGGACAGGACCUGAGUGUCACUGGCCUUGACUACAUGUUAGGCUCAGCUCCUUGCAAGAGUUGUCUGUGCUGACUGUCUCCACCUCUGCUCCUCCCAUGAAACUCCCCUUCAGGUCUUCCUCGCCUCCAAAUAACCCUGUUCUUCUCAACGUCCACGAUGACCGGAGCUGCCAAGGCCAGCGGUCCAGUCUUGAGCCUUGCCUGACCUCAGCAACAUGUGCCAUGCUGACCCCUCUCUUCCUCCCAAAGCCCUCACCCAUCUCAGUGCUCUUCCUGCCUCAUGGCUGCCCCAUCUCCUCCGAGGGUCCCUCAUCUCCCUGCCCUCUCAGGGCCCAUCUCUUCUCUGUUCACACUCAGGCCACAAGGCUCUCUCUCCAGCCCCUUUUCCAGGUCUCUCUGUCCCGUUGGCCCCUGGACCUCUCUGCUCAGGCAUCGAGGGCACACCUGAAGCCUAGCAUGGCCAGCGCUGACCGUCCUUCCCCUUCUCCCCAACUCUACUCCCCCCUUCUCUCAAAACCCACCUGCAAAUGGCAAAUUCCACACUCUUCUGGCUCUCCUUUCAAACACAACCAAACCCACCUGCUUCUCACGCUGCCACUGCCGCCAUCACCCAGCCCGGCCUCUCCUCUUCAGCUCUGAUGACAGCAUCACCUCCUCACAGGCCCCGAUUCUGUCCUUGCCAUUUUCAGUUAUCACCCAGAAGCGCCCUGUCCAGAUGUCAAACCGCACCCCUGCUUGCUCAAUCUCCCCAAGGCUCCCCAAGAGGCCCCUCCAUCACACUGUCCCCACUCCCUCCUGAUCCCCUCCUGACCCCCUGCAGCUGUGAUACCACUAGCCUGACAGACCAGGCACAGCAGCCUCCUGGCCCCUCUGCCCGUGGCUCCACACCCCAUCUGCCCAGCUUCUUCCUCCCAAAGGGCACCUCCCCUGAGCAGCUUUCUAUGAGAAGCGCUGAUUGCUGUAUCCAUAUUUUAUAGGAACAGAAACUCCAAUUUGCGCCAGGGUUUAUGGCUGCCCACAAAAUACAGGAUGCCCAGUUAAAUUUAAGUGUUGGAUAAACAACAAAUAACUUUUAGUACAAAUAUGUUCCAAAUACUGCAUGGCACAUAACUUAUACCAAAGGACUUGUACUUUUUAUACGAAAAAGUAUUUGUUGGUCCUGCAUCUCUACCUGGCAACCUCAGCUGAGAGCCCAGGCUACACCUCUGCCUCCUUUGCAACCAAGAAUAUCCACGUGACUGAGGUCAACCAACAGGACGUGGCCUGUCUGGGCUGCCCUACAGGGAAGGCACCUGCCUCUGCCACCCCUCUGCUCCUUUCUGGGGGCCCCAGGACAGAAGGAUACUGGUCCCUGCCAUUGCACCCCACUCAUACCCAGGCUCAAGGGCCAGCCUAGGCUGGCCGUGGCUUCAGCGCCCCUGUCUCCUUCUGGCUUGCGUUAGAGCUCAGGGGCAUCAUCACCACCAGACUCUCGCUCGACCUCCCUCCACAGCCAAGGUGGGACUCUGGUUUGUUCACUUGGUCCUGACACCUAGAUUGGCACCUGCAUGUCAGAGGCUUCUGGACAGAAAAGCACUGACAACAGGACAGGUCAAGGGCUGGAGGCCAGUGGGGUGGGGGCAGGGCAGGGCAGGUCCUGCUGAGCUCACGGCAGGAGUGAGGGUCUGAGUAGACACGUGUGCACAUGUGGCACAAAGACAGGCAAUGACGAGGUGACAGCCGGGGGGCAGGGACUGAGGAGCUAAAGCUCACUAUCCUCUCGGGCAGUGAACCAGGAAUGCCCAGCUCUCCCAUCCUAGGCAGCAGCACAGGGGGUCAUGUUGUGCAGAGGUGGCCACUACCAGGAAACUAAAGCUCCAGAGAGACCACGUGUCCCACAGCAGUCACUAUGCUCUGCUGUGCUCCCGGGUGCUCCUACUCUGCUCCAGGGUGUUUCAAAGCAUUGCUGUGACAGUAAAAAACAUUGACAAAAUGACUGGAGGGAGGGAGGGAGAACUCGCUUCACCUGGAGGCCUCCCACCUGGCACUGUGCACACAGGCGUGUGGAUGUGAGUGUGAGCCUGUUGGCCAUGGGUGUGACACCUGUGUUCAGGCCGAGAUCUCUAGCCAGGAGUCCCCAGUGUCCAGGAGCCAGGCUGGGGGCUGCAGGAGGGGACCCAGCAGGAAGGGUGGAAGCUGUGGGGAAGGCCCCAGCCCUCCCUUCCUGGAGGAGCUUCCCCUCGCUGCCCAGUUACCCUCCCUCUCCUGCAGCCUCAGGCUCCUUGACCACCAGCUGGGCCUCCUGGGAGUCCCUGACAACACCUGUCCCCACUGCGGUCCAUAGGAGUCUUGUGAGGCUCACUGCUGGGACAGCUGCUCCCGGGGACCAGGCCAGAGUCUAGACUCCUCUGGCUUCAAAACGAGGGCAGGUAGGCAGGAGAGCAGGUCCCUCAAAGGUGGACUCGCUGUGACCACACGUUGUGUCUGGGUACAAGGCCACACGUGGCCAGACAUGCGUCUCUACUCAGCACUGCUGCUGGUGUGGGACAGGCGCCAAGAGGGACUCAGCUCACAUGGAACAGCUGGGGAAACGAGGCUCAGAGAGGGGCCCAACCAAGGACUUCAGGGUGGCACACAGGUGGGCUCUGGGGGCCAGAGCACAGAGACAGGACACAGGCACGCUGGGCCAGGUGUUUAUUGAUGAGAGAACAGCACCGGCUGAGGGUCCUCAGCGCCCAGCCGGCCAGCAGGCACACAGGGCCCGGCGCUCGGCCUGCAGCAGGAGGGUCUCCGUCUGCAAAGCAACAAGGGGCCAUGAGGGCGCUGCACAGCUGCCCCCGCUCACAGCUCCCGAGGGCCAUCUCCUGGCUUCCCCCCAAACCCACUGGCAGUCCUGUCUCCGCCUGCUCCUGAGACUCUCCGAGUGAGCACCUGACUCUGUCAUGACCCCCCCACUUUGAAUGCAGGUGACUCUGCUGCCCUCAGGGCCUCGUCUCCCCUACUCCUUCCCACCCUCCACUCCCUCAGCGGUUCUGAGCCAAGGAGCCCGGCCAUCACCCUCCGGGCCAAGGGGCUCACCCGCGCGUCCAGGCUGUAGGCCGUCUUCCGCAGGUCCUGCAGGGCGCGCUGCAUGAACUCGAAGGCGUGGCAGUCCACGCACGGGCGGCCUGCGGGGGCGUGGGUCAGGGCGGAGUGGGUGCGCCCCAGCCCAGUCCCGCCCAAGCAGCGGCCUCUGCCGGCCCCCACCUCCACCUAGGGGCGGCCUCGAGCCGGGAGGCGGGCGGGGCGCAGGGACCGCCCCUGGGAACAAAGACCGGGCGCGGUCCUCCCGCGCGCCCCCUCCCGCGCGCCCCCGGCGGGGGUCAGGACCUCGCGGGGACCCCCCACCCGCACGGCACGUACUCUGCGCGGGGACUGCGCUCCCGGCGGCGGGCUCGGGGCGGACCUGGGCGCCCAGCAGCGCGAAGCUCAGUAGUAGCAGCAGCAGCCGCGGCGCCGACGUCGGGGGCCUGCACGGCGGCGGGGGGGCCAUGGCCGAGCCGAGGGAGCCCGGGGCCGCCCUGCAGCGGGCGAGAGGGG